CAGCGGGUUGUAGCAAUACAAUGCCGGCGAGUGGCGCACGGGUGCGUAACACGUAUGCAACCUACCCUAUACUGGGGCAUAACCUUUAGAAAUGAGGGCUAAUACUCCAUAUAAUUAUUUUGAGGCAUCUUGAGAUAAUUAAAGAUUUAUCGGUAUAGGAUGGGCAUGCGUCCCAUUAGUUAGUUGGUAGGGUAACGGCCUACCAAGACUGUGAUGGGUAGGGGUCCUGAGAGGGUUAACCCCCACACUGGUACUGAGACACGGACCAGACUCCUACGGGAGGCAGCAGUAAGGAAUAUUGGGCAAUGGCCGUAAGGCUGACCCAGCCAUGCCGCGUGCAGGAAGACGGCCUUAUGGGUUGUAAACUGCUUUUAUGUGGGAAUAACCGUAGCUAUGCGUAGCUACCUGCAAGUACCAUAUGAAUAAGCAUCGGCUAACUCCGUGCCAGCAGCCGCGGUAAUACGGAGGAUGCGAGCGUUAUCCGGAAUCAUUGGGUUUAAAGGGUGCGUAGGCUGGUAUUUAAGUCAGUGGUGAAAUUUUCGUGCUUAACAUGAGAGCUGCCAUUGAUACUGGAUACCUUGAGUGUAUUUGAUGUGGGCGGAAUGUGUUGUGUAGCGGUGAAAUGCAUAGAUACGACACAGAACACCGAUAGCGAAGGCAGCUCACAAAGUUACAACUGACGCUGAUGCACGAAAGCGUGGGGAUCAAACAGGAUUAGAUACCCUGGUAGUCCACGCUGUAAACGAUGAUCACUACCUGUUGGCGAUAUACCCGUCAGUGGCUAAGCUAAAGCGAUAAGUGAUCCACCUGGGGAGUACGUCCUCAAGGAUGAAACUCAAAGGAAUUGAC
rnacentral:rRNA from 1 species